rnacentral:rRNA from 1 species
CAAUAGCGUAUAUUAAAGUUGUUGCAGUUAAAAAGCUCGUAGUUGGAUUUCGGGGCAGCCUGGCUGGUCCGCCGCAAGGCGAGUACUGGUCAGCCGCCCUUCCUCUCGAAAGCCCCGACUGCUCUUUACUGCAGUGGUCGGGUAGUUCGGGACGUUUACUUUGAAAAAAUUAGAGUGUUCAAGGCAGGCCGUCGCCUGAAUACAUUAGCAUGGAAUAAUGGAAGAGGACCUCGGUCCUAUUUUGUUGGUUUCCAGGGCCGAAGUAAUGAUUAAGAGGGACAGUUGGGGGCAUUCGUAUUUAAUUGUCAGAGGUGAAAUUCUCGGAUUUAUGAAAGACGGACAACUGCGAAAGCAUUUGCCAAGGAUGUUUUCAUUA